UAAAAACCCCGACUUCGGAAGGGGUGUAUUUAUUAGAUACAAAACCAAUGCCCUUCGGGGCUCUUUGGUGAUUCAUGAUAACUAUACGAAUCGCACGGCCUUGCGCCGGCGAUGGUUCAUUCAAAUUUCUUCCCUAUCAACUUUCGAUGUUUGGGUAUUGGCCAAACAUGGUUGCAACGGGUAACGGAGGGUUAGGGCUCGACCCCGGAGAAGGAGCCUGAGAAACGGCUACUACAUCCAAGGAAGGCAGCAGGCGCGCAAAUUACCCAAUCCCGACUCGGGGAGGUAGUGACAAUAAAUACUGAUACAGGGCCCUUUCGGGCCUUGUAAUUGGAAUGAGUACAAUUUAAAUCCCUUAACGAGGAACAAUUGGAGGGCAAGUCUGGUGCCAGCAGCCGCGGUAAUUCCAGCUCCAAUAGCGUAUAUUAAAGUUGUUGUGGUUAAAAAGCUCGUAGUUGAACCUUGGGCCUGGCUGGCCGGUCCGCCUCACCGCUUGCACUGGUCCGGCCGGGCCAUUCCCUCUAUGGAACCCCAUAUCCGUCACUGGGCGUGGCGAGGGAACAAGAAAUUAACUUU
rnacentral:rRNA from 1 species